ACGAACGCUGGCGGCGUGCCUAAUACAUGCAAGUCGAACGCUUCUUUUUCCACCGGAGCUUGCUCCACCGGAAAAAGAGGAGUGGCGAACGGGUGAGUAACACGUUGGUAACCUGCCCAUCAGAAGGGGAUAACACUUGGAAACAGGUGCUAAUACCGUAUAACAAUCGAAACCGCAUGGUUUUGAUUUGAAAGGCGCUUUCGGGUGUCGCUGAUGGAUGGACCCGCGGUGCAUUAGCUAGUUGGUGAGGUAACGGCUCACCAAGGCGACGAUGCAUAGCCGACCUGAGAGGGUGAUCGGCCACAUUGGGACUGAGACACGGCCCAAACUCCUACGGGAGGCAGCAGUAGGGAAUCUUCGGCAAUGGACGAAAGUCUGACCGAGCAACGCCGCGUGAGUGAAGAAGGUUUUCGGAUCGUAAAACUCUGUUGUUAGAGAAGAACAAGGAUGAGAGUAACUGUUCAUCCCUUGACGGUAUCUAACCAGAAAGCCACGGCUAACUACGUGCCAGCAGCCGCGGUAAUACGUAGGUGGCAAGCGUUGUCCGGAUUUAUUGGGCGUAAAGCGAGCGCAGGCGGUUUCUUAAGUCUGAUGUGAAAGCCCCCGGCUCAACCGGGGAGGGUCAUUGGAAACUGGGAGACUUGAGUGCAGAAGAGGAGAGUGGAAUUCCAUGUGUAGCGGUGAAAUGCGUAGAUAUAUGGAGGAACACCAGUGGCGAAGGCGGCUCUCUGGUCUGUAACUGACGCUGAGGCUCGAAAGCGUGGGGAGCAAACAGGAUUAGAUACCCUGGUAGUCCACGCCGUAAACGAUGAGUGCUAAGUGUUGGAGGGUUUCCGCCCUUCAGUGCUGCAGCUAACGCAUUAAGCACUCCGCCUGGGGAGUACGACCGCAAGGUUGAAACUCAAAGGAAUUGACGGGGGCCCGCACAAGCGGUGGAGCAUGUGGUUUAAUUCGAAGCAACGCGAAGAACCUUACCAGGUCUUGACAUCCUUUGACCACUCUAGAGAUAGAGCUUCCCCUUCGGGGGCAAAGUGACAGGUGGUGCAUGGUUGUCGUCAGCUCGUGUCGUGAGAUGUUGGGUUAAGUCCCGCAACGAGCGCAACCCUUAUUGUUAGUUGCCAUCAUUUAGUUGGGCACUCUAGCAAGACUGCCGGUGACAAACCGGAGGAAGGUGGGGAUGACGUCAAAUCAUCAUGCCCCUUAUGACCUGGGCUACACACGUGCUACAAUGGGAAGUACAACGAGUCGCAAAGUCGCGAGGCUAAGCUAAUCUCUUAAAGCUUCUCUCAGUUCGGAUUGUAGGCUGCAACUCGCCUACAUGAAGCCGGAAUCGCUAGUAAUCGCGGAUCAGCACGCCGCGGUGAAUACGUUCCCGGGCCUUGUACACACCGCCCGUCACACCACGAGAGUUUGUAACACCCGAAGUCGGUGAGGUAACCUUUUGGAGCCAGCCGCCUAAGGUGGGAUAGAUGAUUGGGGUG
rnacentral:rRNA from 1 species